rnacentral:rRNA from 1 species
ACUGGCAGCUCAAGUGGUGGCCGUUUUUAUUGGGCCUAAAGCGUUCGUAGCCGGUUUGAUAAGUCUCUGGUGAAAUCCUACAGCUUAACUGUGGGAAUUGCUGGAGAUACUAUCAGACUUGAGGUCGGGAGAGGUUAGAGGAACUCCCAGGGUAGGGGUGAAAUCCUAUAAUCCUGGGAGGACCACCUGUGGCGAAGGCGUCUAACUGGAACGAACCUGACGGUGAGUAACGAAAGCCAGGGGCGCGAACCG